rnacentral:rRNA from 1 species
UACGAAGGGGGCUAGCGUUGUUCGGAAUUACUGGGCGUAAAGCGCACGUAGGCGGACUUGUCAGUCAGGGGUGAAAUCCCGAGGCUUAACCUCGGAACUGCCUUUGAUACUGCAAGUCUUGAGGAUGAGAGAGGUAAGUGGAACUGCGAGUGUAGAGGUGAAAUUCGUAGAUAUUCGCAAGAACACCAGUGGCGAAGGCGGCUCACUGGCCCGGUACUGACGCUGAUGCGCGAAAGCGUGGGUAGCAAACAGG